GACUCGCAGAUGACCCCUAUUGAUUUUGAGGUCACUAGGUCAAAGGUCAAGGUCACGGUGACCCGAAAUAGUAAAAUGGUUUUCGGAUGAUAACUCAAGAACGCAUACGCCUAGGAUCAUGAAACUUCAUAGGUAGAUUGAUCAUGACUUGCAGAUUACCCCUAUUGAUUUUGAGGUCACAAGGUCAAAGGUCAAGGUCACGGUGAC